AUACAGAGGGUGCGAGCGUUAAUCGGAAUUACUGGGCGUAAAGCGCGCGUAGGCGGCUUAUUAAGUCAGAUGUGAAAUCCCCGGGCUCAACUUGGGAACUGCAUCUGAUACUGGUAAGCUAGAGUUUGGGAGAGGGAAGUAGAAUUUCAGGUGUAGCGGUGAAAUGCAUAGAGAUCUGAAGGAAUACCAGUGGCGAAGGCGACUUCCUGGCCUAAAACUGACGCUGAGGUGCGAAAGCGUGGGUAGCAAACGGGAUUAGAUACCCUAGUAGUCC
rnacentral:rRNA from 1 species